GGCGUAGCUCAAUGGUAGAACAUUUGCCUCACAUGCAGAAGGUCCCAGGUCCAGCAUCUCCAGGCAGGGCUG